rnacentral:lncRNA from 1 species
UUUGUCUUCAGACCAUGAAACUGCCUCAAGCUGUAAAGCUUCCUGCCUAGGUCAAAAUUGUGGCUAUCAGACUAAAACCCUCCCAGUUCAGUACCACAAAGGGAGGGUAUUGUAUUAGUCUGUUCUCACAUUGCUGUAAAGAAAUACCUGAGACUUGUAAUUUAUAAAGAAAAAAGGUUUAAUUGGCUCAUGGUUCUGCAGGCUAUACAGGAAGCAUGAUGCUGGCAUCUGCCCAGCUUCCAGGAGCCCUCAGAAAGCUUACAAUUAUGGCAGAAGGCAAAACAGAAGUAGGCGUGUCUGGAGCAAGAGAGAUCCAGUGGGGAGGUGCUACACACUUUUAAACAACCAGAUCUCAUGAGAACUCACUCACUAUCACAAGAAUAGGACCAAAGGGAUGGUGCUAAACUAUUCAUGAGAAACACCUCCAUGAUCCAAUCACCUCCCACCAGGCCCCACCUCCAACAUUAGAGAUUACAAUUCAACAUGAGAUUUGGGCGGGGACACAGAUCCAAUCCAUAUCAGGCAUCUAACUCCCACACCUGUGGCUGGAGCCCAUGCCACUCACCUCUCCUACUCAAAACUAGAUUGCAAAUUCCCAUCCAGAGACUCUCCAAAUCAGUGACUGCAACCCAUGCUUGUUGGCAGGUUCUUAUACAACCCACUAUGAGUUAGCAUCAAAAAUGGCUUUCUCCUAUCAGCACCCAUGUUUGGGAGUGUGUGUGGGGUACUUCCCAGUGCCGUUCCUUCUCAUGGUCUCCUGACUGCUCCCUGAGUCAGAUCAGGGCUUGGUAAAGUCAAGAAGCUCCUCCAUGGCCUGGAUUGCCUGGCUGUCCAGUGGGAAUGUGUAUCACAGAGACAGUUUCUCCCCGUCUCACACACUGAGGAUUCACUCACAGUUUCCCACCAGAUCCACCCCGCAGGCUGCUGCUUGCCUUAUUUUUCAGAGUAUCCAAAGUUUCUUUCACUUUUAUGUUGAACUCCCGUGUUCUUUCUUGGAUAAAAUUUCUUUUUUUUGUUUUAUAGUACUAUGAUUCAUUUGAAACCUAUUAUCAGCCUUAUGACCAUACCAAGUUGUGCCAGUCAUUUAAAAUUUUUAGUUUUUCAUUAUUCAACAUACAUUGAUAUACAGCCUUACAUGCAUGUCUAUGAGAAAGUGGUAGGAGAAAGCUCUCAGCUGAUUUUUGUGCAACUGAAUGACCAUUAAUGCUUGGCAAUCUUCCCAACUGAAUCUGACUCAAGUAGAAAUAGUUAACAUUAAUCAAAAGAGAUUAAUUACCUGCCACCAGUCUUUUGAAACAGUCUGUCCUGAGAAAAAGAGAAUUCGAUGAUAUGUAAAUCCAUGUUCUUUGGGAAUGCUUAUUUCUCCUUUUCUUGGGAUACAGAAGAAGAGACAGACUCAGAUACAAACCUCAAUACCUGAAAUCAUUAGCUUUGGUCUUGGUGGGAUCAAAACCAAAAAAUAAAAGCUAUUAAUAUGUGAUUGAAUACACAAACACACGUGCGUGUAACCUAACGUGGAUUUUCACAUAACAAUUGCUAUUUUAAAAUGUUAUUAGUUACUUAACCCAUAUGAUUUAUCUUAGAACCACAGAACCUCAGAGCUAAAAUGAACAUUUUAUAAUAACAAACCGGGUCCAAAAUAAAUGACUUACAUAGAUUUAUAAGGUAAUUAAUGACAGAGCUGAGUCAAGGAUUCAUGUUUCUUGAUGCCUAGUUUAGUAGUCUUUGAUGCAACAGACAUCAAGUACAUAUUAUAUCUAGAAGUAAUGUAUUAAAGAUAAUCUUUUGGCUUAAAUCAUUUUAGAAUGUGUAACAUCCUUGUAAUACAAGUCAUUACCCAUUUCAACUAGAGAAGAAGAUAUAUAGAAAUAUCAAAUGUUAACAAGGUAAUAGGCCAUUGCUUUUGUGUAAUUCAAAAUUUGAUAAUGAUUUUGUUCUUUGCCCUAGUUAUUGAUAAAAUUCUUAAAGUGAACAUUGCCUGACAAUUGUAUCAUCAAGAGCAAAUACUCAGCUUUGAGACCUUGGAUCUAAAAAGCUAAAACUCUGCAUUUCUGUUAAACAUGUAUUGAUCUGGCAGUUGACAGCAGGUUGUCAAAGUGCCUUAUGGUGGAAGUUGUAAUAGAUGAUAUCUACGUCCUCCUCUAAUGAGUGAGUCUACCAAAGACCAUGGAGAGGAAAAUGUGCCUCUUAUUGCCUGACUCCUGAUGAAUAAGACUUCAGUGAAGUGCAGAAAACAGGCCUCUGCUAGGUCUAUCCAUGACAGGCAAGUUACCCAAAUGAAAACCUUGGGCUCUGUCUCAGCUGUCACCCUAACUUUCAAGUGACAGCAGCUAGCCUUUCAAAGUUCUAAGCACCUUUGAAGAGUUUCUGAUAACACAUUUAAAAGUAUUAUCACAGAUGAAAGAGAAUUCAUUAUGUCAGACCUACCUCAAAAGUUUUAAGUUUGUUCUUAAGUCCUUUCAGAGAAAUUAACAAUCCAGGAAUAAAUCUUUUAAUUUACCCUACCUAUUGUGGUUACUAGUACAAGGCACCUUUCUGAUAAUGAAACAGAAAUCCUUUCAUUCCUGGAAUUUCCUGUUGGGAGUGUAGAGUUUUCUGAGCAAUAUGUAACGUUGGUUAGUUACGCAAUAUGUUGGAUUUUACUGCCAGCUUUGUUUAAAAAGGGUGUGAGAGGCUUUGACCAACAGGAAUGUGAAGUCAAAGUUAAGUAUGGCAUCAUCUUACCACCUGUCACAUGAAUAAACCCGGAUUCAUAAGCAAAUAUGUUAUACAUUUAAGUGUUUUUAUUAACUCAGAUAAGCUAACUAUAAAAUAGUUUUAUCUUUACCUGUAUAUAAUUUGGAGAAACUAUCUUUUUCCCUCCAGGAAAAUGUUAGUGGAGAAAAAUUGGUCCCCAAAGUUGCAUACAAAAGUUAUUAAACAUGUGAGGGAGGUUGUCUUCAGUGAUUGCAGGGGAGAUGGAUG